GACGAACGCUGGCGGCGUGCCUAAUACAUGCAAGUAGAACGCACAGUUUAUACCGUAGCUUGCUACACCAUAGACUGUGAGUUGCGAACGGGUGAGUAACGCGUAGGUAACCUGCCUGGUAGCGAGGGAUAACUAUUGGAAACGAUAGCUAAUACCGCAUAAUAUUAAUUAUUGCAUGAUAAUUAAUUGAAAGGUGCAAUUGCACCACUACCAGAUGGACCUGCGUUGUAUUAGCUAGUAGGUGAGGUAACGGCUCACCUAGGCGACGAUACAUAGCCGACCUGAGAGGGUGAUCGGCCACACUGGGACUGAGACACGGCCCAGACUCCUACGGGAGGCAGCAGUAGGGAAUCUUCGGCAAUGGACGAAAGUCUGACCGAGCAACGCCGCGUGAGUGAAGAAGGUUUUCGGAUCGUAAAGCUCUGUUGUAAGAGAAGAACGGGUGUGAGAGUGGAAAGUUCACACUGUGACGGUAUCUUACCAGAAAGGGACGGCUAACUACGUG
rnacentral:rRNA from 1 species